UACAGGGGGUGCAAACGUUGCUCGGAAUCAUUGGGCGUAAAGCGCACGUAGGCGGUUCGUUAUGUCGGAUGUGAAAGCCCUUGGCUUAACCGAGGAAGUGCAUCCGAAACUGGCGAGCUAGAGUACGAAAGAGGAUCGCGGAAUUCCCGGUGUAGAGGUGAAAUUCGUAGAUAUCGGGAGGAACACCGGUGGCGAAGGCGGCGAUCUGGGUCGAUACUGACGCUGAGGCACGAAAGCGUGGGGAGCAAACAGGG
rnacentral:rRNA from 1 species